rnacentral:miRNA from 1 species
CCUGUGUGUGUGUGUGUGUGUGUAUGUGCACGCGCGCGCACGCACACACACACACACACACACACACACACACACACACACACACGCAU